AACAGAUCAUCCUAGUUCAAGUUGGGAAGAAGGAGAAGAAGGAGGAGGGCAUUCUAGUUGGCAAGUCUUUGGAAGAAAUGCUGAGAUAUCCUGAGACAUGGAAGAAAAAUGCUUGGAGGAAGGAGGGUCAGAGUGACCUGAGGAAACAGACGAACUUCUUGCUAACAUAUGGAUUUGUCUCUAUGCCUAAGUUCACUAAUGGAUCAUGCUUCCAUGAGCUCAGUACAAAUGGUGAUUUCCUUCCCAUCUACGCCCUGAGACUUCACCACAAACUGGAAGCCCAAGGCCUCUCACCUCAGUACCCUACCAAGACUGCUGUAACUAAAAUUACUCUCUUCCACUAAUUCCACUUUCCAGCAGUGUCCUUUCUUUCAAAGAAGCUAAUCUCAGGUAAGUAAGGAGAAAAGUUUUAU